UACAGAGGGUGCAAGCGUUAUUCGGAAUUAUUGGGCGUAAAGCGCAUGUAGGCGGUUUGGUAAGUCUGAUGUGAAAUCCCUCGGCUUAAUCGGGGAAGUGCAUCGGAUACUGCCAGACUGGAGUGCAGGAGAGGAGAACGGAAUUCCUGGUGUAGAGGUAAAAUUCGUAGAUAUCAGGAGGAACAACUGCGGCGAAGGCGGUUCUCUGGACUGCAACUGACGCUGAGAUGCGAAAGCGUGGGGAGCAAACAGG
rnacentral:rRNA from 1 species